AGAGCCACAGGGUAAUUCAACACCGGAAGCGUCUUGAACAUGACGCCACCCUGAAGGUGCAGAAUACGCGGCGAGGAUAGAUCACGGAGCUCGUGAAUGAAAGAAGGCUGACCUAUGAUAAGAAAUAUCGUUGAUCGGUUUACCGUCAUCGUCAGAGACUAAUAAUAACGCAACGUAUACGAUUCUAUCCCUAAGUCGAUGUCGACCAAAAGUGGGAAAAGCCGAAGAACGCGAAGACACCGAACGGAUGGUAGACGGGCGGGGCAAUGGCAAUGGUGGCAAACUCGCGGAGGCACGAAGGAAGAUGAGGUCGGAGGUAAUCUGACACCUGGCCGCAUCGAAGGCUGGUGCUGUGAGAAAAUGAGUACUCUCGUCGCACCGAGAGUAGAAGAAUGAAAAAGGACAAAGAAAAGAAUAAAGAAAUAAAAAAAUAAAAAUAAAAGCAAAAAAGAACGAAGAACGCACUGAUGAACAAGGAGGACAACUAGACAUCGAUCGAGAGAAAACGUCGUUAGUUCUUUGACUAUCGAUAUAGAAAAAGUAGUAAGAAGAAGAUACUGGAGAGUUUGUCUCUCGAAAUUGCACGUUCGAGCGCAACGAGUGCGACGGUGGUCAUGGUACUCUGCACAGUACCAUUCCUUCGUGGUAACUGGAGAACGCGAAGUGAGUAUCGGUUACGAGGAAAACUUCCGUGCACGCAUUAACGACGCCAUACGUCCUCGCCAUCCGACGUACGAGGGUCGCGGCGCGAACAGGUACACGACAGGUUCGAGGAAAGAUCUGGGUCAACCUAUUUCAACCCUUUUUGUCAUCUUUCUUCCGCGAGAUGACAAAAAAGAAAGAGAAAAAGAGAGAGGAAGAGAAAGAGAGAGACGAAAGAAAGAUGAGAUAAAUAGACCAACAUUCCUCUCUCUGACUCUAACUUUAAUGUUGCAUCUUAAUGUAACGUUGUGUUUUACCUAUAUCUUGAAUCCUUUGACACAAGUUUUACUAAACUUUUACGAGCUGAGACCCACUUUCGAAAACAAUC